CACGCCCUAAACGAUGUACUCUAGUUUUAUGGGGUUUCGACCCCCUGUGAGACUAAGCUAACGCGAUAAGAGUACCGCCUGGGUAGUACGACCGCAAGGUUAAAACUCAAAGGAAUAGACGGGGACUUGCACAAGCGGUGGAUUAUGUGGUUUAAUUCGUAGGUAAACGAAGAACCUUACCAAGGUUUGACACCUAACUGAAAGCUCUAAGAAACUAGAGCCCUCGCAAGACAGUUAGGCAGGUGA
rnacentral:rRNA from 1 species